UACGAAGGGGGCUAGCGUUACUCGGAUUCAUUGGGCGUAAAGGGCGCGUAGGCUGCGGGGCAAGUCGGGUGUGAAAUCUCAGGGCUCAACCCUGAAACUGCACUCGAUACUGCUCUGCUUGAGGACUGGAGAGGAGACUGGAAUUCACGGUGUAGCAGUGAAAUGCGUAGAUAUCGUGAGGAAGACCAGUGGCGAAGGCGGGUCUCUGGACAGUUCCUGACGCUGAGGCGCGAAGGCCAGGGGAGCAAACGGG
rnacentral:rRNA from 1 species